rnacentral:rRNA from 1 species
AUUGAACGCUGGCGGCAUGCCUUAAACAUGCAAGUCGAACGGUAACAGGUCUUCGGAUGCUGACUAGUGGCGAACGGGUGAGUAAUGCAUCGGAAAGUGCCCAGUAGUGGGGGAUAGCCCGGCGAAAGCCGGAUUAAUACCGCAUACGACCUGAGGGUGAAAGGGGGGGAUCGCAAGACAUCUCGCUAUUGGAGCGGCAGAUGUCAGAUUAGCUAGUUGGUGGGGUAAAGGCCUACCAAGGCAACGAUCUGUAGUUGGUCUGAGAGGACGACCAGCCACACUGGGACUGAGACACGGCCCAGACUCCUACGGGAGGCAGCAGUGGGGAAUUUUGGACAAUGGGCGCAAGCCUGAUCCAGCAAUGCCGCGUGCAGGAAGAAGGCCUUCGGGUUGUAAACUGCUUUCGUCAGGGAAGAAAUCUUCUGGGUUAAUACCUCGGGAGGAUGACGGUACCUGAAGAAUAAGCACCGGCUAACUACGUGCCAGCAGCCGCAGUAAAAC